GGAGGGGGCAAGCGUUGUUCGGAAUUACUGGGCGUAAAGGGCGCGUAGGCGGAAGAUCAAGUCAGGGGUGAAAGGCCUGGGCUCAACCCGGGAACUGCCUUUGAAACUGGUUUUCUAGAGUACGGGAGAGGAUGGCGGAAUUCCCAGUGUAGAGGUGAAAUUCGUAGAUAUUGGGAAGAACACCGGUGGCGAAGGCGGCCAUCUGGCCCGGUACUGACGCUAAGGCGCGAAAGCGUGGGGAGCAAACAGGAUUAGAUACCCUGGUAGUCCACGCCGUAAACGAUGUGUGCUAGCCGUUGGGGCCUCAGGUCUCAGUGGCGCAGCUAACGCGUUAAGCACACCGCCCGGGGAGUACGGCCGCAAGGUUA
rnacentral:rRNA from 1 species